GCUUUGGUGGUGUACAUUAGCACGAUUAAAUUUCAUUUAAUAGGAGAUUAUGUCCCGAAGUU
rnacentral:tRNA from 1 species